AUGAACGCUGGCGGCGUGCCUAAUACAUGCAAGUCGAGCGAACAGAUGAGGAGCUUGCUCCUCUGACGUUAGCGGCGGACGGGUGAGUAACACGUGGAUAACCUACCUAUAAGACUGGGAUAACUUCGGGAAACCGGAGCUAAUACCGGAUAAUAUAUUGAACCGCAUGGUUCAAUAGUGAAAGACGGUUUUGCUGUCACUUAUAGAUGGAUCCGCGCCGCAUUAGCUAGUUGGUAAGGUAACGGCUUACUAAGGCAACGAUGCGUAGCCGACCUGAGAGGGUGAUCGACCACACUGGAACUGAGACACGGUCCAGACUCCUACGGGAGGCAGCAGUAGGGAAUCUUCCGCAAUGGGCGAAAGCCUGACGGAGCAACGCCGCGUGAGUGAUGAAGGUCUUCGGAUCGUAAAACUCUGUUAUUAGGGAAGAACAAAUGUGUAAGUAACUAUGCACGUCUUGACGGUACCUAAUCAGAAAGCCACGGCUAACUACGUG
rnacentral:rRNA from 1 species